rnacentral:lncRNA from 1 species
GGGGCAGAGGGCAGUGGCAGCCGGGGCUGGCAGGGGGCCUUGUUUGGCUCCCCAGGUGGGUGGCGGUGGCGCGUGGGGUGAUGGCUCCCUGCGACUCCUGGUGAUGCUGGAGGCCAGGCCUGAUGCUCGGUGUGGGUUUACCCUACCGGAGUGACCCAGCACGACAAUCAUGGCUGUGUCCCCUGGGUCUUGAGGAGGAGAGGGGUUAUUUUGGUCAGAGACAGGCAGUGAGGACGGCCUCAGGCAGAGGUGCUGAAGCACCACGUCUAGGAUUGAGUGGCUUUGGUUUUACAGCUAAAGAUAGGGCGAUGCUUCUAUCCCCGAUAAGAGGAACGGGGAAAGGGCCAGAGAAGAGGGCUUGGCCCAGACACAGGGAGAUGAGACAGGGAGGGAAUCGUACCCAUUGAGUGUUGUGGAAAUCCUUUAUUCCGUCCAUGACAAUGCAGAGCUUGCACGGCCACCUCCCACCCAUCCCCUCCCCUGCACAAGGCCACCUGCUCCAAUCUCCUUUCUUAACAGCUCUUGGCUGCUACAGACGCAGGCAGGGACCUUUGAUUGUGUGGAAGCUUCUUGUUGAGAAAUUUCUGAAGCUUGCUUAGCCACUAAGGAGUCAGUUGAAAAUGUCUCUCUAAAGACUAAAGAAGACGUGAGACCCCUGCUUUGAGAACUCUGGAGUAAAGGAACCUGGCCUGGUAUCAGGAGAGGUGGAUGGAGUUCUGACUGCUGCUCACCAGCCGUGCAAUCCUGAGCAAGUUAUCCUAACACAGCCACGGAUUCCGACUCAGCGGCCCGCUAGCAUGGUAGCCCCAGGGCGGCCAGGGUUUGUCUGUUUGUCCUUUGCUGUAAUUCCCAGCGCCGACAACAGUAACUGGUACAUGGUGGUCUUGCUGAAUAAGUGAACAAGUGCCUACCUAGCACAUUGUACCAAGGAUCAUACGAUAUUAACGUAUUUAACAUUUUUUAACUAAAAAGUAUUAGAAAAAUGUUAUUCAGUGCAUCUGUGCCUUGUAAAUGUGGCAUAAAAGUGACACAUAGAUAAGUCUAAAUAUGUGUAAUACAGAGCUUUCUUUUUCCCAGUCCCCACACAAAAAUCUUAAUUCCUCUACCAUGUUCCCCACACAAGAAAAGGCAAAAAAAACAAAAAAAAAAAACAAAACAAAACCAAGUACUUCAAUAAAAAGGUGGGACGCUUCAAGCGAGAGACAACUGAAUUAACUUUAUUCUCUUCUAACUGCAGAUUCAAGGUAUACAACUGAACAUUGCUAUUUUUCUUAUGAGACUUAUAAAUAAAAAUACAAAAAAUGUUCACUACAAAAAAAUCUACUGUUAGUAGGAUGUAAAAAAUAUUCUCUUUGCUAUAGAAGGCACAAACUUCACUUAGUGACACAUGGAGAGAGAAAAAAACCUGCAGCAGUAAAUUCAUUUUUUCUUUUUUUUUCCUUUUUUUUUUUUUUUAAAUCUUGUCAGAAACACUGAAAUUACAAAGAAACGCGUCAAUCUACACGAAACGAAGGCAGAUGCGGAAAGCUGCAACCAGGACUGCACAACUUCGAGUGAAACUGCUUCGGAACUAGAACAGAUAAGGAGCGGCAAGCACAACUCGGGGAAGUGGGCUGGGGAGGGGGCAGCAGGAGGCAGGAGAGAGGGAGAGAGAAUGGAGUGGACAGAAAUGAGACGGGGAGCCAGAGGGAGGAGGGGAGGGCGGGAGAGGGAGAUGGAGAGGGCAAGGGUGAGAGGUGGGGAGGAGAGAAAGAGAGAAAGAGAUUGAUUUGUACAAAAAAGUAACCAGUAAAAUUGAAGAAACAAAAUUGGGCAACCUCCUAAAAUUAGGCUAAGAGGAGGUGCUGAGGUAGACAUUAACUAGAACAUUGAUGAAUUAAAAACACUAUUCUGUAAUACAGAGCAAUCCGACUGGCACUUGUGCUAUCACGACAUAAGACAAGCCACAAAAACAAACAAAUAACAAAACGAAACAUAAUACCCAAACCAAAAGGCUUAGUUUUGCUUGGUCCAGCAGGGCAGCAGGGCCCUCAGUGCUAUAAUUUACAUACAUAUAUAUAUAUAUUUAUCUUUAUAUAUACGGGUUGGAUGUCAUGGUGCACCACCACGGCUUCUUAACCUUACGAAGAUCAUGCAUAACACUAUGUGAACAAAUCCUAUGAUACACACCAGGAGGCUGGUACCCUGUCUGCGAAGUUGGAUGCCAAGGGCCCGGGGAGGCCGCAGCUGCUGGCUAACCGGCCUGCAGGGCCUGCACCCCUCUUUCUCCCCACCCUUUUCCCCUGACCCAACCUCUCUGGUUUGUCCUGCACCCCUCUCCUGGCCAUCUCUGCCUUUUUCCUCUCCCCAUCUGUCCCACCGCGUAGGGUGAGUCUCGCCUUUCAUCCUCCCACUGAAAUAUCCAGGUAAGUGCCACCAUUACAGCCAAGCCGGCAGAGGCUCCAGGAAGGAGGAGGUAUGAUGGGAGGGGGAAAGAUGACCACAGGAUGGGCCUAGGAAAAGUGAAUGAACAGAGUCUCAUCUUCUGCUUUUCUGUCUCACAUCCUGGUGCGCCCCCAGUUUUCACCCUAGCUCGGCUUGCCGGGAAGCAGGCCCAGAAACUACCCUGACCCUGCCAGCCGUCAUGGACAGAGUCGAAAGGCUGCCCCACCUCUGCUCUCUCCCCUAUAGGGAGGUAAGCUCAAUGGCCCUCUUCCAUCCACAGCAAUUGUACCAAUAGCAUCCAGAAAGGUACCAUACACUUGUGAAAAAUUGCAGCAGUUUUUUUUUCUUUUUUUUCUCAACAUGGAAAAACUGUUCAGGCACAAAGAUUAAACAAGCCCGCGUUGCAUCCCUUGGAUUGUACUGAAUCACUGGGUCCCCCAGCCUCCCUACCUACCCCUGCACCCCAGAUCUGCCUUCCCCAUAUUCAUGGCCUCCUCCUCCAAAGCAGCCCAAAGCAGCAAUGAUAUUUACUAUUUUAUAUCAAUCUCUUGCUAUAUAUAUAUAUAUCUAUAUAUCUAUAUAUUUGUCUAUCCUAUAUAUACAUAGGAUUUUAAUGCUUUGAAUGAGUGAAGGAGUGAAUAGGGAAAGAGCACAUGAGGUGUAAAUGUCACCAAAUGCAUUAAGGGACAUAUUUGUAGGAGCUGGACAUGGGAAAGGGACUAUUAACCAACGUGGCCUUGCCAGGCUGGAGAAGUUUUUCACUGUGCUGGAUAAGGCAGUAGCAAGCAGGGUUGUCAGCAGUACCACAGCUAAAGGCAGCCAGGGGGCCGAAGGAGUCAGGUGGCAUGAAGAAGAGGGGAGGACAGAUAUUCAGAUCCCACCUGGGGAGAGACCCCUGUCUACCCUCCUCCUCUCCCCUUAACUCCAGACACAUAUAAAGCCUCCAGACAGCCUCUUAGCUUGCCCCCUGGCCACUAGGCCGUGCAACAUUAGAACUGUUCUGUUGUUGUAGGUAGGAAGUUGGAGAAGAGGCAUGUUAGACUCUAUUCAGGUGUCUUCAUGGGGAGAGGAAGGUACAGUAAGUUCAGAGGUGUCCCCAGACAGUAGCCCUCAGAAACCACACUCCCCUGAGCUCUCCCCAUACCUCCCUACUGGGGUCUGCAGGGCCCACGGGGUUGGGUGGGGCAUCCAGGUGCUGAUUUAGUACCAUCCAUUGCUGCAACACCAGAUUACGACAAUACUGCAUGAUUUAACACACAACCACACACACAAAGCACACGCGCACACGCACAUACAUGUACAAAGGGAUAUUUUGGUGGUGGUGGAUUUUUUUUUGUCUUUUGUCUUCCUAUUCACAUUACAAAAGGAAAGGGCAAGGUUCUGCAGAACUGACGAAGGAACUAACAGAUACUACAAAAAUAUUACAAUUUGUGAAGAUUAGCUCAACCCUCUCAGCUUUUAUGAAUGGAGCGGGGAGGGGCCCAGGCUGAGUGGGAAGGGCAUGGGAGUGAGGGGGCCAGCUAGUUCUAUGGAAUAGUUUGAUUUUUUUCUCUUCCUUCCCCACCAAUGUUGAAUGACAUCUUGCUGUUAAAAAUACUGUUUUCUGGGAUUUACAGAUCCCCUGAGGGCCAGCCAGUCCCCGCUUCUUCCCAGACCAGAGGAGGAAGCCAUAGUGCAUAAUGAUUUCUUACAGACGGCCCCUCCCCCAAAUGAUUUCACCCUUUUCACAUUAUAAACAUGACAACUGUUCUAGUCACGUAUUUCAAGUUUAACUUCUUUUCCUUUCCAAAACACUAAGUCGUUACUAUAGUUGCAAAAUAGCAUCCUCCCUACUUUACCAUCCCUAAUCCACAGUCUAGUGACACCGUCCUCCCAAUUCACAUCCUCCCAACACACAAUUUUAAGGCCUUCAGAUUUGGUGGAUGAGAUUGAAGGGGAGGGCAGGAGGGCUGGGGCCGAGGGACGGGGGGGUCGUCGCAGCAGCACCCAUCCCUCCGGCUUCCCUACAUUCCUCGUGAUCCUUCUCCCCAAAACCGCUUCCCUAAACCACUUUGUAAAACCUAAGAUCAAAACGCAGCCACAACUUUCUCAGAGAGAGAAAGGAAAGAAAAAAUAAUAAUAAAAAACUCUUACACAUAAAGCAUGAGAUGAAACGGAGGGUCCGUCCCAAAGCAAACACGAAUAUUGCAAAUGUGCUUUCCAAAAUUCAGGAGGGUCGGGGGAGGUUGGGGAAAAGAGGGAGGAAGAGCAGCAGAAUGGGAGGCGGGAAAGGAACAAAAGAACAACUGGACAAACAUAAGAGGUAGCUUUUAGAAAAACAACACCCCCACCCCAACACAACAAAACAAAGGCUGGAUCCCGCCCCCCUCCCCAAAGACCAGCCGUGAAAAUAGACCAAUUCUGGCAAUGAGAAUGCACGCACAGAGGUGAGACCACACAGUUGCAAGGAUCCAAACACAGGCCCUCAAACCUCAAUGGCCCAGCAAAUUGUAAGAAAGGUGGGAUUCUCUCCAGAGUGUUUUAGGCGGAACGGAUGGUGGCCACAGGUGACUUCAUGCACCAGCGGAGCCAAAAGUGACUCCCUAGUGCCCUCUGGGGACCAUGAGACCCCAAAGCAACAUCCCCUCCCCACCCACGCUCUUCGCCCUCCUCGGCCCUCACAUUCAGAUCCUGAGUAUCAACUCCUCCUGCACAGUUCCUGCCAGCUGGGAGGCUGGUCUCCAGGGGCACGGGGAGGGUCUUGACCAGCUGAAGUCUAUAAAAACAACUAUUAAUUUACACAAGAAACAGAAAAGAACACCCUCCCCAUUCCUCCAAGCCCCAACCGAAAAAGAGAUACAGAGCCCUUCUCCUCCCCAGUCAGCCGCCAGCAAACUAGAGCUGCCAUUUUGAGCAGCUAGUGACCCAGCCCAGACCCAUCAGCAGGGGAGCGCCCUUCUGGCUCACCUCCUCCCUCCCUUCAUCUCCUGGGGGUCUUGGUGGAGGAAGGCCGGCACAGACCGUGUGGCUCUGACCAGAGGACCUCUCACCUGCUUUCUAGCCUCCAUUUCUGGACACAUAAAAGAAGGUCUGGGUGAAGGAAGGAGAAAAAUGUGCCACCAUUUGAGUGAACAAAAUACCCAACCCCAUCCCAGAAAAUCAGGCAAACCUCCAGCCGGGAGAGGAGGGUGGAGGCCCCCAGAGGAGGGGCAGUGGCUUGGCAUCCAGGUCAUCUGGAGCCCAGAGAGAAUCCAAGGCCAAAAAGCUACCAGGUUUCCUUUUCCUUCUGUUUUUUUUUUUCUUUUCCUUUUUUAUUUGUCAUAGUCCUUCCUUCAUCUCACUCCAACUCUUCUUUCCUGGCUCCCCGCUCGGCUCCACCGCCGCGGGCCUCCCUUCACA